rnacentral:lncRNA from 1 species
AUUCCUUAAUAUCAUGAGAUCUUUCCUAUCACAAAUCACAAUCCUUGAAUCCAUAAUUCAAUUCAAGGAAAGUUAAUAGUCAAGUCAAAAGAAGUUAAGAGUCAAGUCAAGAGAAAUUCAUAGAGUCUUCCAAAAGCCUUUUACAAAUGAUUUAACUUUGUUUUAAGAUUUGAGUUUUGAAUUCAGUAAAGAGUAAAGUUUAAGUUCAUUUCUUCAAAAGUGUAUGGGGAC